CGGGGAGCAGCCCAGAGCCUGAAUCAGUGUGUGUGUUAGUGGAAGCGUCUGGAAAGGCGUGCGAUACAGGGUGACAGCCCCGUACACAAAAAUGCACAUACUGUGAGCUCGAUGAGUAGGGCGGGACACGUGGUAUCCUGUCUGAAUAUGGGGGGACCAUCCUCCAAGGCUAAAUACUCCUGACUGACCGAUAGUGAACCAGUACCGUGAGGGAAAGGCGAAAAGAACCCCGGCGAGGGGAGUGAAAAAGAACCUGAAACCGUGUACGUACAAGCAGUGGGAGCACAGAGCAAUCUGUGUGACUGCGUACCUUUUGUAUAAUGGGUCAGCGACUUAUAUUCUGUAGCAAGGUUAACCGAAUAGGGGAGCCGAAGGGAAACCGAGUCUUAACUGGGCGUUAAGUUGCAGGGUAUAGACCCGAAACCCGGUGAUCUAGCCAUGGGCAGGUUGAAGGUUGGGUAACACUAACUGGAGGACCGAACCGACUAAUGUUGAAAAAUUAGCGGAUGACUUGUGGCUGGGGGUGAAAGGCCAAUCAAACCGGGAGAUAGCUGGUUCUCCCCGAAAGCUAUUUAGGUAGCGCCUCGUGAAUUCAUCUCCGGGGGUAGAGCACUGUUUCGGCAAGGGGGUCAUCCCGACUUACCAACCCGAUGCAAACUGCGAAUACCGGAGAAUGUUAUCACGGGAGACACACGGCGGGUGCUAACGUCCGUCGUGAAGAGGGAAACAACCCAGACCGCCAGCUAAGGUCCCAAAGUCAUGGUUAAGUGGGAAACGAUGUGGGAAGGCCCAGACAGCCAGGAUGUUGGCUUAGAAGCAGCCAUCAUUUAAAGAAAGCGUAAUAGCUCACUGGUCGAGUCGGCCUGCGCGGAAGAUGUAACGGGGCUAAACCAUGCACCGAAGCUGCGGCAGCGACACUUAUGUGUUGUUGGGUAGGGGAGCGUUCUGUAAGCCUGCGAAGGUGUGCUGUGAGGCAUGCUGGAGGUAUCAGAAGUGCGAAUGCUGACAUAAGUAACGAUAAAGCGGGUGA
rnacentral:rRNA from 1 species